AUGUCCCAGACUGUGUUUUUGUUUUUUGGAAGGGGGAAGCUGAUUAUGAACCGGCAGUUUAAAAAUUUGUUAAAAAAAAAAAAAAAAAAAAAAAAAAAAUUAACCACCCCUCUUUUAUUGUCUAUUUUUGCUCUAAAUCAUUUUCCACGAACUGCGAGCUGUACGUGGAUUCAUGUCCUAAACCAGAUGAUGAAGAAUAGACUGUUACUACCAAGGCAACAACCCAACAGAAAACCAAUGCUUCUGCGAAUGGCUGCAAGUUUCUAUAUGCUGUCUUUUGAGGUGAGAAAUCAAGCCUGAGCUCUUCUUUCUCCUGAUUCUCAGGAAGGAGGAAGGCAGACGUGAGAACACUGACUGGGUCUGUGUGUCACUGGGCAGCAUCACUGUUAAAAGGUCAGCGCACAGAUGUGGGCUCACUUUUCUCCUUCUUCCAUGUGACUGAAGUGGCUGAGAGGGCUGUCACUUCCCCCCCCGUACCCCCACUGUCAGGGACAGCUAGGGCCAAACCUACUGCCUGGGCGGAAGAGGCCAGGGCAGGUGUGCAAAGCCAGAUCAGCAGUCAGCCAGGGCAAAUGGGGUCGCUCUGGUUACAUGACCAGGGCAACUGACAGAAAGGAGUGAAAUGUGGGGAAGAUCUCCGUGUGUUUGAGAACUGGGGAGAUGAAAAGGGUUCAACUCAUGGCCUGCUUUAGUUUGAAACAAUUUAAGCUUCACC
rnacentral:lncRNA from 1 species